UACGUAGGGUGCAGGCGUUAAUCGGAAUUACUGGGCGUAAAGCGUGCGCAGGCGGUUUUCUAAGUCAGAUGUGAAAUCCCCGGGCUUAACCUGGGAACUGCGUUUGAAACUGGGAGGCUAGAGUGCGGCAGAGGGGGGUGGAAUUCCACGUGUAGCAGUGAAAUGCGUAGAUAUGUGGAGGAACACCGAUGGCGAAGGCAGCCCCCUGGGCCUGCACUGACGCUCAUGCACGAAAGCGUGGGGAGCAAACAGG
rnacentral:rRNA from 1 species